rnacentral:rRNA from 1 species
UGGGGAAUUUUGGACAAUGGGCGCAAGCCUGAUCCAGCAAUGCCGCGUGAGUGAAGAAGGCCUUCGGGUUGUAAAGCUCUUUUGUCAGGGAAGAAACGGUUCCGGCUAAUAUCUGGAGCUAAUGACGGUACCUGAAGAAUAAGCACCGGCUAACUACGUGCCAGCAGCCGCGGUAAUACGUAGGGUGCAAGCGUUAAUCGGAAUUACUGGGCGUAAAGCGUGCGCAGGCGGUUUUGUAAGUCUGUCGUGAAAGCCCCGGGCUCAACCUGGGAAUUGCGAUGGAGACUGCAAGGCUUGAAUCUGGCAGAGGGGGGUAGAAUUCCACGUGUAGCAGUGAAAUGCGUAGAGAUGUGGAGGAACACCGAUGGCGAAGGCAGCCCCCUGGGUCAAGAUUGACGCUCAUGCACGAAAGCGUGGGGAGCAAACAGG